UACAGAGGGGGCAAGCGUUGUUCGGAAUUACUGGGCGUAAAGGGCGCGUAGGCGGCCCGCUAAGUCGAACGUGAAAUCCCCGAGCUCAACUCGGGAACUGCGUCCGAUACUGGUGGGCUUGAAUCCGGGAGAGGGAUGCGGAAUUCCAGGUGUAGCGGUGAAAUGCGUAGAUAUCUGGAGGAACACCGGUGGCGAAGGCGGCAUCCUGGACCGACACUGACACUGAGGAGCGAAAGCCAGGGGAGCAAACAGG
rnacentral:rRNA from 1 species